rnacentral:RNase_P_RNA from 1 species
GAAAAUAAACCGCCAUAACAUGGCAAGGGUGAAAAGGUGUGGUAAGAGCACACCGGUUCUAUUGGUAACAAUGAACGCUGGAAAACCCCACUGGGAGCAAGACUAAGUAGAGAUGACAUUGUUGAAAAACUAAAAGCCAUCCUUGGCUAGUCAUCAGGGUUAGUUGCUUGAGCUUAAGAGUGAUCUUAAGCCUAGACAAAUGAUAGGUUUAAAUGACAGAACCCGGCUUAUAGUUUAUCUGGCAAA